GCCUGGGUGGCGGAAUUGGCAGACGCGCUAGACUUAGGAUCUAGUACUGUAAAGUGUAAGGGUUCAAGUCCCUUCCCAGGCA
rnacentral:tRNA from 1 species